rnacentral:rRNA from 1 species
UACGGAGGGUGCAAGCGUUAAUCGGAAUUACUGGGCGUAAAGCGCGCGUAGGCGGCUUGGUCAGUGAGGUGUGAAAGCCCUGGGCUCAACCUGGGAACUGCAUCUCAUACUGCCAGGCUAGAGAUGAUAGAGGGAAGUGGAAUUCCAGGUGUAGCGGUGAAAUGCGUAGAUAUCUGGAGGAACAUCAGUGGCGAAGGCGACUUCCUGGAUCAAUACUGAACGCAUGAGGUGGCGAAAAGCGUGGGGAGCAAACAGGAUUAGAUACCCGUGUAGUCC